rnacentral:rRNA from 1 species
AGUUGUUGCAGUUAAAACGCUCGUAGUCUGAUGUAAUGGGGACUGGAGUGGGGAGCAGCGAUGCUCUUUGCUUUGGUCUCCAUCAGGGGGACAGCAAUGUCCCAGUUUACUUUGAGGAAAUUAGAGUGUUCAAAGCAGGCGAUUGCUUGAAUACUGCAGCAUGGAAUAAUGGAAUAGGACUCGCGUCUUAUUUUGUUGGUUUGGAGAUGUGAGUAAUGAUGAAUAGGGACAGUUGGGGGCAUUGGUAUUCAGUAGUCAGAGGUGAAAUUCUUGGAUUUACUGAAGACUAACUAGUGCGAAAGCAUUUGCCAAGGAUGUUUUCAUUGAUCAAGAACGAAAGUUAGGGGAUCGAAGACGAUUAGAUACCGUCGUAGUCUUAACCAUAAACGAUGCCGACUAGGGAUCGGCGGAUGACGUUUAGCGUUGCCGCCGGGACCUUGCGAGAAAUCAAAGUUUUUGGGUUCUGGGGGGAGUAUGGUCGCAAGGCUGAAACUUAAAGGAAUUGACGGAAGGGCACCACCAGGAGUGGAGCCUGCGGCUUAAUUUGACUCAACACGGGAAAACUCACCAGGUCCGGACAUGGUAAGGAUUGACAGAAUGAGAGCUCUUUCAAGAUUCUAUGGGUGGUGGUG